CAGGGAUGGUCUUGUAGCUGCUCGACACUUGCAUCACUUUGGUUAUCCAAAAUGAAAUACUAAACCUCCUUUUGCUGGUUUAGUCACCCAGGUUUAGAUACAAUGGUAAGUGAAAAGCAAGCCAAAGCCAAGGCUACUGCAAAGCCUUUUCACUUCCACCCGAUCUACUAAGAAACGAAUUCAGAGUGAGGCAGUAUCGGGAAGUCUAGCCAAAGGCAAGCAAGUUGCUGAGAGUUUCAUGAGACCACCAAAGAGGUCUUGGCCGGAAAUUGAAUUCAGCAAUGACAAGGCUAGAACCACGGGCGGACCCACAUGGUGUCAGGGGUUCAGUUGAACCAGCUUUGUCGAAAUAUUAUACAUACGGCGUAUAUGGAUAUAUUACGUUUAACAGAGGAAAAUUACUACUAUAAAAAAAUGUUUGAACCCGCUUUAACACAAGCAUGCUCCCAGUGGAGGUCGAGCGGGUUUAAAGUGUGAGAGAGGUGCUAGGAUCGAAUCCAAUUUGGGGCGUUUCCCAAUUUGUUUUUUAAUCCAUACUUGAAUGGAGUGUGUGCAGCUGAAGGCCAAGACCAUUUUUGUUUCAAAUUAAACAUCAUCCUUCAAAUUUAUUA